rnacentral:ncRNA from 2 species
AGGAUGGAAGGUUCCUAGUGACCUUUACAACACAUAUAUGGUUAAGGCUGCCACCUACUUUGUGGCAUCUAACCAAGGUUUUAU